UUUUGGCAAAAAAUAAUAAAAUUUGUGGGUUUGUUAUUUUCCCAGAAUUUUUUUGUUGAAAAUUUGAGUACCUGAGAUAGCAUAUCACUAUAUUUAUACCUUGAAUUUUUUUCAUUUUGCGAGGCAUUAUUUUUUGUACUGUCAUUUCCUUCUUUCUUUCUUCUUGAUAAUUUUGUGAAUCAUGACACGUAGAUUAAACUGCUCGUAUGUAGUAACAUAAAUCACGUUGAAUUAUUUUGAGCUAUUUCUCUUGCUUUGCUUUAGACAUGAACCUCAAAUUUAGGAAUAUAAUCGUCCAGCUAUGCUGAAGCUCAUACUUAUACUGUGUGAAUUAAUAUUAGGCCCUACCAAUGUUUUGAAAUUUCAAAAAUGAAAAACAAAAUGAAAGUAACCGUCAUCGUAGUCCUGGUGGCGUUAACGGUCUACGUUUCCACGAUAUCCGCGCAAGAAGGAAAUGCUGCGCAAAAACAUUCUGGAAUAUCGAAUGCUGAAAAAUCAGAAUCAGAUUCAACAAAAUCCGAUCCCCAAGAAUCAUCAGAUGCCCAGCCAUCGAAUCCGCCAAAUCAGCCAGGCUCAGGCUCUGAAAGGAAAAAUAUUCGCUCGUUUCACAGGAUUGGUAGACUGAUUCAUCCUAUGCAAGAGGAGAGGAGAGAGAGGAUAGAGAGGAUAGAAGAUUAAUAGUAUGUCACUGACUCAAAAAACCUCCAUUUAAAGCAUUUUUGAUGCAAGAACCAUCUGUGCCAAAAGUGCCACCAAUCAGAUAAAUUUUCAGCAAUUACAUUGUGUGUGGUUUUUAGCACAGGUGGUCUACAGUGGGUUAAAAUUGACGAAGCCCCCGAAAGUUCAACAGGAAAGUGCUUACAAAUGAGUUGGUAAAACUUUAUGUUUAUAAAUUGGCUCUCUCCGGUGUUCAUACAGGAAAUUUAAGUACAUACCUAAUACCUAUCUAGAACAUACCCACCUAUACAGAUCUUUGAAAAAUAUGUACACUUUCACUAUUAAUAAUACCAUAUUACGUUCAUG